rnacentral:lncRNA from 1 species
GCCAAAUAAUGGUGCUCUGCUUCUGCUUGCUUAAAAAGAUUUAGCCAUGGCGGAGGAAGGUUCCGGGAAACAGAGGAGGAGACGGAAAGCGCACGAGUCAAAAUGGAGCUCCGGCCUCCGGCUCGCCGCCGGUCCCAGUCUCUACCUGGAAGAAAUUGAAAAAGGACAACAGUGAAAGCAAGCAACUUUAAAUAUAUCUAUACUGAAUACUGAUGAUGAGGCUUGGCCAGAUAUAACAUGGCUAAUCGAUCAACAGUACUAUCGUAUGUGGUGUGAAACAAGAAGAUUUGAUCCAACAAAGACUGGCUGCCAGUUGGUCAAUUCAGGCAAGAAGCCAAGAACAGAAA